UGCUAAGUUAGUUCUUGGAUCGUUCGUUUCUGCUGUUGCACAAUUUGUUCCAAAUUUAGGAUCUUUUGCCCCUGUGUUUCCACAAAUUUCAUGUUCUGUCCAAGUUUGCGAAGGAGUUCUUCCUCUCUUAGUUUGUACGGCAUGUGAGGGUUCGGAAGUGUGUCCCAGGGAUCUUAUCAAGUUUCCAGGAGACGUUGGGUUAGCCGACUUUUGUAAAACUUUGGCAUCUUUCUUGCUAAGUUUUCGUCUGAGUGACAAAAUGCGGUGUUGACACUCCUUGCAUUUAUAAAAGUUUGAUGUAAAAUUUAAAUAAUUGAAUAAACUAACAAUGCGAGAGUGUGAAGGGUAAUGCCCCGAUUUGGCUGAAAAUUCAA